AACCAACAUUGCACUUCACUUCACAAACAAGCUGACGUAAUGUGUAACGCAACCAGAAAUAGUCCAACUUAAGACACACACACACACACACACAAAAAAAAAAACACACCAUAUUUUGGGCCUGUGUGUGUACAUUUGUUUUGCUGCUUGUGGGUUUAUCCCUCUGCUGUGCAGUGUUUCCAGGUUCUAAUCUUAAAUAGCUCUUAUCACAAAAAGUAAGUGCACUUUUCAUUUGUGCUCUGGCCCAUUAGUUUUCCCACCAACUCAGUCUACAGAAAAACAGAUAUCUUACAUUUUGGGGAAGUGACUUUACCAGAAACAGGAAACAGUUCAGUUUAUCUACGAUGACAAAUUGAGAAACACAGACAAGAUACUUUGAACAAAUCCACUAACAAAGACUCUAUGAACAACCACAUUACACCAUGGAACAUCAGCUGUUUUUGCCUCUUUUUUUCAAGUUGACUUGGAUAUUUGUAGUUUUCUUCCCUUCUGUAUGCUCUGGUACGGUCAGGCCACAAAUAUCCCUGGAAAACACAGUGUUUGUGGCCAUCAGAGGUGAAGAUCUCAGUAUUAAAUGUGACCUCAGAAAACCAGCAAACCAAAGUGCAGACGUGAUGAUAUGCUCCAGUCCUUCCCAUAAACAGAUAUACAGAUAUAAUAUUCCCUCCACGAUUGGCAUUGCAGACAGCAAUUAUAAACUGAUACUGGGGCUGAAAAACCUGACCAGUUCAGGACAAUAUUAUUGUGAAUAUCAAACAGCCAAGGCAUACUGGUUUCUUCGAGUGAGAGAUGAUGGCUAUCACGAACCCAAAAUGUGGGAUUACACAGAAGUCAUCAUAGUGGCUGUUUUCACUGGUGUGCUGCUGGUUUUCAGUGUGGUUGGAUCAGUGUACGUCUUCAGAGGGCACUGGCAAAUCACCAAAUGUGACAAAAGUGACAGACAACAAAAGCAGAACAAAGAAAGGAAGGAGAGAGAGAUUGAGAAAGAAGACAACGCAGAUGUAACACCAGCUCCAUCUACGUCUUUCUAUGCUAGUCUAGAGCCUCGGCCCAGGUCCAUUUAUGAUGUACUGGACCACUCAGCUGCCAACACAGAGCCAGACCAACAGAAAGCUAAACCUAAGAAAAAGGAACCCUCAAAAACGGUCUGUGUGAACUUUGGGUACCUUUUCACAUUUUCUGUUGUCAGUGGAAAACAAUGA
rnacentral:lncRNA from 1 species